UGUACGGCUGCUGCAAUUUGCUGAAGGUUC
rnacentral:piRNA from 1 species